UGGGAGAAUUUAGAAAGGCAAGGUGCA
rnacentral:piRNA from 1 species